GUCGGUGAGGCUGCUGAUGAGCGCCUGGCUGAGGCGAGCCAGCUCCUCCAGGAGGCCGUCGUUGUGGCGCUCCAUCAUCUUGUUCUCCUCCUCGAUGCUCUUCAGGUUGCACUCCAUCGACGAGAUCUGCUUUCAGGAGUCGCCAGAUGUUGUAUGGAAAGAAAGCGGGUCAACGUGGGCUGGAUAUCGUCAACAAAUGAGCGGAAUGAAAAGAAAACAAAAGCCUCCCAAGCCAGAUUAAGCAACAUUCAGGCCAACCGGCGUGCGACUUCCUCAAGAAAAAGGAAGUGAGCGGCCCACUUCUCGAUGCGAUCUUCUUUACACCAUCCGACCUUUCAAUUCCAUGCGCUUCGACCUCCCAGACUCAAAGCUAUCAGUUUCUUUUUCCACCAUGUGAAAGACUUUCAGUGCGCUAAUUAAAGCACCGCAUUUAAAGGGAACGUGAGAAGCCGCUGUGAUUGGACAGGAUUGAAGUGACUGAGAUGGCACCCACAGCAGCGUAAACGUCUCUUUUAGCCGGUACACGGAAUUACCACGUCGUGCCAGAUAAACUGCAGUCACGAAAACAGAGCCCGUAAUCUUACGAGAAUUAGAUUAUUUCACGGGAAUAAAGUCGGAUAUUUAGAAAAGUUAAAUUGGAAAUGCAUGUUGUAAUAAAUAAUAAACAAUAGAAUUUAAAAAGGAAUACUACAUAGUAGAAUAAUACGUAAAAUGUUGUGAGACAAAAAGUUCUUGUUUUCUGAGGACUUAAUCGUACUCUUAUUUACAUUAGAAAAGACUUGCAUGAGGGGAAAAAAUAUUUUUAUGAAAAUACAUUUUUAAUUGUAUGAGAAAAGUUGAAUCUUGGUGGGGGUGGAAUAUUCUGCUGAAAAGUUUUACGAAAAGAAUAUUGUAAUCACUCAUUGAAUUAUUAUUGUAUGAGGAAAAAGUCAGAAUCACAUGGUAAUAAAUUAUAAUUUAUGAGAAUAAAGUUUCA